GUAUGAACGGCUAAAUGAGGGCCUACCUGUUUCCUAUGGCCCGUCAAUGAACCUGAUCUUCCAGUACAAAAGCUGGAAUUAACCCAUAAGACGAGAAGACCCUGUGGAGCUUCAAACAACCUGCUAACCCACAUAGCAUGGUACUUUUAGUUGGGGCGACUACGGAACAAAACAAAACUUCCACGCCUCGGACCACCCAUCCUAUAAAGGCACCCACGCCAACAUAACCCUUAACUCGACCCAGUCCAUACUGAUUAACGAACCAAGUUACCCCAGGGAUAACAGCGCCAUCCUCUUUAAGAGCCCCUAUCGCCAAGAGGGUUUACGACCUCGAUGUUGGAUCAGGGCCCCCAAGUGGUGCAGCACUACUAACGGGUUCGUUUG
rnacentral:rRNA from 1 species